AAAAUACAUUACGCAUAGAGGCUGAGAAAGAAUUUAAAUAAAUUCAUUCGAAUAAUCGAAAAAUUAAAUUAUAUACUAGAGGUUUUCAUCAAGGUUUACUCAUUCCUAACAAAAAAAUUUUAGCUACUUAUGAAAAUAAACAAGAACUAAAGAAUAAAGAGAAAUUAAAAGAGUUCUCCAUGAAAUAUUCUUGAUGAAAUAGCUUUGUAGAUGUUCAGCACGUUAAUAUUUGCU
rnacentral:lncRNA from 1 species